rnacentral:rRNA from 1 species
UGAGGAAUAUUGGUCAAUGGGCGAGAGCCUGAACCAGCCAAGUAGCGUGCAGGAUGACGGCCCUAUGGGUUGUAAACUGCUUUUAUGCGGGGAUAAAGUGUGCGACGUGUCGUGCAUUGCAGGUACCGCAUGAAUAAGGACCGGCUAAUUCCGUGCCAGCAGCCGCGGUAAUACGGAAGGUCCGGGCGUUAUCCGGAUUUUUUGGGUUUAAAGGGAGCGUAGGCCGCCAGAUAAGCGUGUUGUGAAAUGUACCGGCUCAACCGGUGAAUUGCAGCGCGAACUGUUUGGCUUGAGUGCACGGUAAGCAAGCGGAAUUCAUGGUGUAGCGGUGAAAUGCUUAGAUAUCAUGAGGAACUCCGAUUGCGAAGGCAGCUUGCUGCAGUGCGACUGACGCUGAUGCUCGAAGGGGCGGGUAUCAAACAGG